rnacentral:rRNA from 1 species
GAUGAACGCUAGCGGCAGGCCUAAUACAUGCAAGUCGAACGGUGUCUUCGGACAUAGUGGCGCACGGGUGCGUAACACGUAUGCAACCUACCUUACAUUGGGGGAUAGCCUUUCGAAAGGGAGAUUAAUACCGCAUAAGACAGUAGCUGGGCAUCCAGCAGCUGUUAAAGAUUUAUCGAUGUAAGCUGGGCAUGCGUCCAAUUAGCUAGUUGGUGAGGUAACGGCUCACCAAGGCAAUGAUUGGUAGGGGAACUGAGAGGUCAAUCCCCCACACUGGCACGGAGAUACGGGCCAGACUCCUACGGGAGGCAGCAGUAGGGAAUAUUGGGCAAUGGACGCAAGUCUGACCCAGCCAUGCCGCGUGCAGGAUGAAGGCGUUAUGCGUUGUAAACUGCUUUUAUACAGGAAGAAACGACUCUUGCGAGAGGCAUCGACGGUACUGUAUGAAUAAGCACCGGCUAACUCCGUGCCAGCCGCCGCGGUAAUAC